rnacentral:rRNA from 1 species
GGAGGAAUAUUGGUCAAUGGGCGGGAGCCUGAACCAGCCAAGCCGCGUGACGGAAGAAGGCGCUAAGCGUCGUAAACGUCUUUUGCCGGGGAACAAAGGCGCGGACGCGUCCGCGUGUGAGUGUACCCGGAGAAAAAGCAUCGGCUAACUCCGUGCCAGCAGCCGCGGUAAUACGGAGGAUGCGAGCGUUAUCCGGAUUUAUUGGGUUUAAAGGGUGCGUAGCGGCCUGUUAAGUCAGCGGUAAAAGCCCGGGGCUCAACCCGGCGAGCCGUUGAACUGGGGGCGUAGAGACGGCGAGAAGUACGCGGAAUGCGCGGUGUAGCGGUGAAAUGCAUAGAUAUCGCGCAGAACUCCGAUUGCGAAGGCAGCGUACCGGCGCCGGACUGACGCUGAGGCACGAAAGCGUGGGUAUCGAACAGGAUUAGAUACC